CCCGUGAGCACUGUGACCGAGGAGGACGAAGAAGAACUGCUACAGUUCUGUACGCGCCACGGUGGAUUUUUGAAUCGGGUCUUUGCUGGCAGCGAGGGGUUGCCCUUGUCCGUGCAGUGCGUGGCCUUGCCGUGGCAGGAGGAGAAAGCCCUGCGCCUGAUGAAGGAGCUGGAGGUGCUGACGAGGGCCGCGGGGGGGCCCGGCGCUGAGUCUCGGCGUGAGGCAGCCCGCUGCGGCCCCACGGGGCCACUUGGAUGACCAGGGUCCGAGACUUGGCCACAGAGGGACAGGGCGGCAGGAGCCCCGCGUCUCUGCAGCUGCGUGUCUGUGUGGCUGUGUGGCUGCGCGUCUGUUCCAUGCAGCUGCGUGUCUGUGUGGCUGUACAUCUG